UGCUGAGCCUUUGUGUGUGUGGUGGUUGUGGGGGGGUAAUCAGGGUUACAUACGCUCAUCAGCACAGAGCCCUAAUGAUUGGGUCAUGGUUGCUGCAUAAAGGGGGGUGGGGAAGAGAGAUUGCAGAGGACAUAACAUCUGCACGCCCUGUUCCUGCCUUGUGAUGUGCCCUACCACCUUAAUGCUGCCAGCAAAAAGGUCUUCACCAGACACAGUCCCUCAACCUUGGACCCCCAGACCUGCGAGCCAACGUCGACCUCUUUUUUGAUUACCUCACCCAGCCUCAGGCCACUUCCCACAAGCCUCCCAGCUUCAAAUCACCGCUAAAGGGAGGAGCAUAUGAUGGUAUCUCCUUGCUGGACCUCACAUCUGCACCCUGAAGCUGUUCUCCACACUCGGGGAUCACACAGGCCCCUUCAGUUACCUGUUUCUGCAGCAUCGACCCAGGACUCAUGAGGGAAGGACAGAAACUGUUGUGCCCUCCAGAGAAUCCAGCCGGUGCUUGGUCAUGCAGCUGUGGUGUGAUCCCAUAAGAGCAAGGGCCCUUGCCCUGCCCACCUGCUUGGUCACCACCUGACACCCCAAAGUAUGGCACCAUGGCAGGCUGAGUGCUUUCAACUGAAUGAAAGGGGCUCAGAAGAAAGA